CCGUUCUCUCUCCGUUCCUCCUGGAGACCUGGACCGGAUGAAGACGCUGGACCGGGACGCCUCCAUCCGCUGCCUGGCGGCUCAGACCGCUUUCCUUCUCGACUCCCUGAGGCAGCGGCGGCGGCCAUCGCGGGGGUUCCUGCGCGGGCUGUGCCGCCGGUGCCGCUGAGCCGCCACGGGGGACGCCGACACCGCCGCAUCCUCGGCUGUGGAAAGCCCGCCCUCUGCUUUCCCGAGACUCAAAAUGAAAGGUGGAGAGACCCCCCCCCAGGCCUGGGGAAGCUGCUGGGAUGUUUUUCACGCCAUUUUAGACGGAAAAUGCCGUUUUAUGGCUCUGGAUGUGCCUGCUUGGAGCUCACCUGUCGGCAGAAAGGUCAGAGCUUUGGUGGUG
rnacentral:lncRNA from 1 species